rnacentral:rRNA from 1 species
UAGGGAAUCUUCCACAAUGGACGAAAGUCUGAUGGAGCAACGCCGCGUGAACGAUGAAGGCCUUCGGGUCGUAAAGUUCUGUUGUAAGGGAAGAACAAGUGCCGCAGGCAAUGGCGGCACCUUGACGGUACCUUGCGAGAAAGCCACGGCUAACUACGUGCCAGCAGCCGCGGUAAUACGUAGGUGGCAAGCGUUGUCCGGAAUUAUUGGGCGUAAAGCGCGCGCAGGCGGCCUCUUAAGUCUGAUGUGAAAGCCCCCGGCUCAACCGGGGAGGGCCAUUGGAAACUGGGAGGCUUGAGUAUAGGAGAGAAGAGUGGAAUUCCACGUGUAGCGGUGAAAUGCGUAGAGAUGUGGAGGAACACCAAUGGCGAAGGCGACUCUUUGGCCUAUAACUGACGCUGAGGCGCGAAAGCGUGGGGAGCAAACAGGAUUAGAUACCCUGGUAGUCCACGCCGUAAACGAUGAGUGCUAGGUGUUGGAGGGUUUCCGCCCUUCAGUGCUGAAGCUAACGCAUUAAGCACUCCGCCUGGGGAGUACGGUCGCAAGGCUG